rnacentral:lncRNA from 1 species
CUCCUCAGGAAAACGACAGGCGUUCGCCCGCCCCUCUUUCUGGGAAGAGAUGAGGAGGGGGACUUCUCCCGGGAGACUCGGGCGUCGAAAUUCCUCGUUCCUCAUCCUGCGGCCCCCGCACCCCUCCUCCCGGCAAGGCACCCUCUCCCCUCCCCAGCCAUCUGUUCCUCUAGGCAGCGCAGCGACAAACACGGCUUAGCUUGCUUCCGCCCCUGCCCAGCCCCCUCCCCAAACUCCCCCCAUCCCCGGGAGAGGGAGAAUGAUGACACCCCUCUCCUAGAAGGCCCACACGUCGGCCUCCAUCUCUCACUGAACCCCUAGCCUCAGCUGGACAGGGUAACUGUGGAGGCCCCCCUUUUCCCCUGGGGGGGUCCGUGGAGCUGGAGAGAGAAUGCUUCAAAGCUGUGGAUCGGAGGAAGGCGUGGAGGAGACCGGGAAAAAGCCAAAGCAAACAGAGACCUCCCUGAACUUUCGUCAUUUGAAGAUGGGUGGGUCAUCUUCUUUAUUUAUCCCUCAAGAGAAGACAGAACAAACAGAGGAAGCUUAUCCAGAAUGCUAUCUUCCAGCCCUGGCUUGUGGGGGUCCUCCACGGGGUAGGGGCCGAGAGGAUGAAUCAGGACUCAACUGGGGUCACUCCAAAGUCAGAGAUGCAUUGGUGCUUUGUCUGCAUGUAUGUCUGUGGGAGGGUGUCAGAUGUUGGACUUACAGACAAUUGUCGGUGUCAGAAAUUGAACCUGGGGUCCUCUGGAAGAGCCGUCAGUGCUCCUAACCCCUGAGCCAUCCCUCCAGCCCCAGUGUUUUCUUUAAAUGUGAAUAAUUUUAAAGCAUCCCUUUAAUAUUUAAAUAAAUGUAAACACAGUGUAGCAUAAAGCUCAAAAUUUCCC